CAAAUAUUCUACCAACACUAAGAGACCAUGGAUCCCAGCCAGCUCAGACUACUACACCAGAGCUUGACAUCACUUUCACUGCAGUCCACAGCGUGAAAUCUCCAGCCUGUGUCACCUGAUGUAUAGAGUUCAUGAGUUUAAAGACAAGGACAUGUGGAAAGGAUUGAAAGGGAAUCUGAAAUAUGCAGCACUCAGUCUCCACUGUUUUUACCCCACUGCACAUCCCUCUCCCCAUGGAGACUCCAUUCUGUCUCUCCCAUCCUCUAUCUAUCACCUAGGACACACCUCCUUCAGUUCACUGCCUUGUGUCCACAAAAGAAUUGAUGACAACACUUCUCACCUCUAACGGUCU